rfam:Triticum aestivum genome assembly, contig: Triticum_aestivum_CS42_TGACv1_scaffold_177348_2DS
UAGAUACUCCCUCCGUCCAGAACUACUUGUCUUAGAAAUGGAAAAAAAUGGAUGUAUCUAUAACUAAAAUAAGUCUAGAUACAACCAUUUCGAGGACAAGUAUUUCCGGACGGAGGGAGUAUCUU